rnacentral:rRNA from 1 species
CCUACGGGAGGCAGCAGUGGGGAAUAUUGGACAAUGGGCGAAAGCCUGAUCCAGCAAUUCCGCGUGUGUGAAGAAGGCCUUCGGGUUGUAAAGCACUUUAGUGGGGGAAGAAACAGCUUGGCCACACCAAGCCUUGACGGUACCCCAAGAAUAAGCACCGGCUAACUCUGUGCCAGCAGCCGCGGUAAUACAGAGGGUGCAAGCGUUAAUCGGAUUUACUGGGCGUAAAGGGUGCGUAGGUGGCUAUUUAAGUCGGAUGUGAAAGCCCGGGGCUCAACCUCGGAAUUGCAUUCGAUACUGAGUGGCUAGAGUUCGGUAGAGGGCGGCGGAAUUUCCGGUGUAGCGGUGAAAUGCGUAGAUAUCGGAAGGAACAUCAAUGGCGAAGGCAGCCGCCUGGGCCUGGACUGACACUGAGGCACGAAAGCGUGGGUAGCAAACAGGAUUAGAUACCCUGGUAGUCCGCGCCGUAAACGAUGAGAACUUGACGUUGGUUCGUUUUACGAAUCGGUGUCGCAGCUACGACGAUAAGUUACUCCGUCCGUCGGGAGGUACGGCCGCGAGGUUAGUAACGUACAAUAGAAGUUAGUACGGCGUGAGACGUGCCGACGGACGACGACGAGGGAGGUAGG